rnacentral:rRNA from 1 species
AGGAUGAACGCUAGCGGCAGGCCUAAUACAUGCAAGUCGAACGGUGGUAGCAAUAUCAUAGUGGCGCACGGGUGCGUAACACGUAACUAACCUACCUAUAACUGGGGGAUAGCCCGCCGAAAGGCGGAUUAAUACCGCAUAAGCUGUUGAGGUGGCAUCACCUUAUUAGUAAAGAUUUAUUGGUUAUAGAUGGGGUUGCGGGUCAUUAGCUAGUUGGUAGGGUAACGGCUUACCAAGGCGACGAUGACUAGGGGAGCUGAGAGGCUGGUCCCCCACACGGGCACUGAGAUACGGGCCCGACUCCUACGGGAGGCAGCAGUAGGGAAUAUUGGGCAAUGGGCGAGAGCCUGACCCAGCCAUGCCGCGUGCAGGAUGAAGGCUUUCUGAGUCGUAAACUGCUUUUGACAGGGAAGAAUAGGCUUACGUGUAGGCUGAUGACGGUACUGCAGAAUAGCACCGGCUAACUCCGCGCCAGCAGCCGCGGUAA